GACGAACGCUGGCGGCGUGCUUAACACAUGCGAGUCGAACGGAAAGGCCCUGCUUUUGUGGGGUGCUCGAGUGGCGAACGGGUUAGUAACACGUGAGUAACCUGCCCUUGACUUUGGGAUAACUUCAGGAAACUGGGGCUAAUACCGGAUAGGAGCUCCUGCUGCAUGGUGGGGGUUGGAAAGUUUCGGCGGUGGGGGAUGGACUCGCGGCUUAUCAGCUUGUUGGUGGGGUAGUGGCUUACCAAGGCUUUGACGGGUAGCCGGCCUGAGAGGGUGACCGGCCACAUUGGGACUGAGAUACGGCCCAGACUCCUACGGGAGGCAGCAGUGGGGAAUAUUGCACAAUGGGCGGAAGCCUGAUGCAGCAACGCCGCGUGCGGGAUGACGGCCUUCGGGUUGUAAACCGCUUUCGCCUGUGACGAAGCGUGAGUGACGGUAAUGGGUAAAGAAGCACCGGCUAACUACGUG
rnacentral:rRNA from 1 species